rnacentral:rRNA from 1 species
GACGAACGCUAGCGGCGUGCUUAACACAUGCAAGUCGAACGGAAAGGCCCUGCUUGCAGGGUACUCGAGUGGCGAACGGGUGAGUAACACGUGGGUGAUCUGCUCUGCACUUCGGGAUAAGCCUGGGAAACUGGGUCUAAUACCGGAUAGGAGCCAUUUUUAGUGUGAUGGUUGGAAAGUUUUUUCGGUGUAGGAUGAGCUCGCGGCCUAUCAGCUUGUUGGUGGGGUAAUGGCCUACCAAGGCGGCGACGGGUAGCCGGCCUGAGAGGGUGGACGGCCACAUUGGGACUGAGAUACGGCCCAGACUCCUACGGGAGGCAGCAGUGGGGAAUAUUGCACAAUGGGCGCAAGCCUGAUGCAGCGACGCCGCGUGGGGGAUGACGGCCUUCGGGUUGUAAACUCCUUUCGCUAGGGACGAAGCUUUUGUGACGGUACCUAGAUAAGAAGCACCGGCUAACUACGUG